rnacentral:rRNA from 1 species
CAGCAGCCGCGGGAAUACAGAGGGUGCGAGCGUUAAUCGGAUUUACUGGGCGUAAAGCGUGCGUAGGCGGCUUCUUAAGUCGGAUGUGAAAUCCCUGAGCUUAACUUAGGAAUUGCAUUCGAUACUGGGAAGCUAGAGUAUGGGAGAGGAUGGUAGAAUUCCAGGUGUAGCGGUGAAAUGCGUAGAGAUGUGGAGGAAUACCGAUGGCGAAGGCAGCCCCCUGGGCCAAUACUGACGCUCAUGCACGAAAGCGUGGGGAGCAAACAGGAUUAGAUACCCCCGUAGUCCCUGUCUCUUAUAA